UUUGCGCAAUGGGCGAAAGCCUGACGCAGCAACGCCGCGUGAGUGAUGAAGGCUUUCGGGUCGUAAAGCUCUGUCAGAGGGGAAGAAACCCCUGCAGGUUAAUAUCCUGCAGGCUUGACGGUACCCUCAAAGGAAGCACCGGCUAGCUCCGUGCCAGCAGCCGCGGUAAUACGGAGGGUGCAAGCGUUGUUCGGAAUUAUUGGGCGUAAAGCGCGUGUAGGCGGCUUGCUAAGUCUGAUGUGAAAGCCCUGGGCUCAACCCAGGAAGUGCAUUGGAAACUGGUCGGCUUGAGUACGGGAGAGGGUAGUGGAAUUCCGAGUGUAGGGGUGAAAUCCGUAGAUAUUCGGAGGAACACCGGUGGCGAAGGCGGCUACCUGGACCGAUACUGACGCUGAGACGCGAAAGCGUGGGGAGCAAACAGGAUUAGAUACCCUGGUAGUCCACGCCGUAAACGAUGGGUACUAGGUGUCGCGGGUAUUGACCCCUGCGGUGCCGAAGCUAACGCAUUAAGUACCCCGCCUGGGGAGUACGGCCGCAAGGCUAAAACUCAAAGGAAUUGACGG
rnacentral:rRNA from 1 species